UACGUAGGGGGCAAGCGUUGUCCGGAAUUAUUGGGCGUAAAGAGCGUGUAGGCGGUUCGAUAAGUCGUGCUCGUAAAGUCCAGGGCUCAACCCUGGAAAGCCGGUGGAUACUGUUGUAACUAGAGUCCGGAAGAGGCGGAGUGGAAUUCCUGGUGUAGCGGUGAAAUGCGCAGAUAUCAGGAGGAACGACCAAUGGCGAAGGCGGCUCACUCGGCCCGGAUACUGACGCUGAGGCACGAAAGCGUGGGGAGCAAACAGG
rnacentral:rRNA from 1 species